GAUGAACGCUGGCGGCGUGCCUAAUACAUGCAAGUCGAACGAAUCUUCUUCGGAAGAUGAGUGGCGAACGGGUGAGUAAUACAUAGGUAACCUGCCCCUGUGCGGGGGAUAACAGGAGGAAACUCCUGCUAAUACCGCAUAGCCAUGAGCACCGCAUGGAGCUCAUGCCAAAUAUCCUUCAGGGGAUAGCGCAGGGAUGGACCUAUGGCGCAUUAGCUAGUUGGCGGGGCAACGGCCCACCAAGGCAACGAUGCGUAGCCGGCCUGAGAGGGCGGACGGCCACAUUGGGACUGAGACACGGCCCAGACUCCUACGGGAGGCAGCAGUAGGGAAUUUUCGGCAAUGGGGGAAACCCUGACCGAGCAACGCCGCGUGAGCGAAGAAGGCCUUCGGGUCGUAAAGCUCUGUUGUAAAGGAAGAACGUCGCAUGCAGGAAAUGGUGUGCGAGUGACGGUACUUUACCAGAAAGCCACGGCUAACUACGUGCCAGCCGCCGCGGUAACAC
rnacentral:rRNA from 1 species